ACUGGUUUAGUACAUGCUUCAGUUUGAUGGGUAAUUAAAUGAUACUUUUCUUCUUUUUUGUGUUAUAGACAAUGAUGUGGAUGGAGGGACUGUUGACAUCGGACUGACUGAGUCAAUGAUUUCAUUACUUUUUGAGGGAUCAUUUAAAAAACAAGCAAAAUUUCAUCGAUUUGUUCAGCAGAUGAAGGAGACAGUGACAUUAACUCUUGAACCUGUGCCUGUAGAAAGCCAGUCAAGAGCUGGAGCAAGUAAUAUCAGCCCAUCAACAGCUUUCCCUGCAUUUUUUGAAGUUCCGAAGUUUCCAUUUGAUGUUCAGGCCAAGUUGGACCGAAAAGAAUGCAGACUAACGUCAUCAGACCAAAACAAAAUUAUUAGAACGUUGUAUGAAAUCAUGGCUCAGUACAAAAUGUAUCCAACUACAGAAGAGUAUGUUCAAGUGGCUAAGGCCCUGACUCUGAGGUAUCCCUUUUUAAAAGACAAAGAGGGCAAUGGAUAAGUAGCUGGUUUACCUUUAAUGUUCUACUUUUGGUUCUUGGUUAAUGGAGUUUAUUUUGUGAAACUACUUUUCUUUUUUUUUUUCCUUUUUUUUAUAGCACACUUGGCACAUGUCUCUGAAACGCAAGUUUAAAUUUGAGCGGACACCUUUGGCUGGAGUUGAAGAAGUGAAAAGACUUAAACAGAAGUUUGGUCAUUCAAAAAAGUCUCUGCAACCUGAAGAAAGCAGUUGCAAAGAAAUUACAAGGCCUUUGGUGAGAGCAUAUUUUAAUAAUAUUAAUAUUUUUACACUUGUUACCAGUGUAUUGUUCUCAAAUUAAAGGGUUAGUUCAACGAAAAAUGAAA